AACGUGGAUAGGGGGCGCCCGACAAAGCUGGAACUCUACCAGCCUUCCACGCCUUACCUUAGAGG
rnacentral:sRNA from 1 species